CCAUGCAUUACUGGGUAACUACUUCUUUGGCAGUUAGUUAGUCUUUUAACACUAACCGCCAAGGGAGAUUUGCCCCGCAAUUCAUUA
rfam:Helianthus annuus linkage group 13, whole genome shotgun sequence.